rnacentral:rRNA from 2 species
UAUACAUGCACUAAACCUCGGUCUUCGGAAACGGGGUGCUAUUAUUGGAGCAAAAUCAUUCGUUAGUCUUAUAUGCUAACUCUCAAUAAUACCGCUAAUCGUAUGGCCUUGUGCCGACGAAGUUUCUUUCAAGUAUCUGCCCUAUCAACUGUCGUUGGUAGUGUAUUGGACUACCAUGGUGGUAACGGGUAACGGAGGAUCAGGGUCUGACUCCGGAGAGGGAGCCUUAGAAACGGCUACCAUGUCUAAGGAUAGCAGCAGGCGCGAAAAUUACCCAAUGUCAAUCUGACGAGGUAGUGACGAGAAAUAACAAGACCGUUCUCUAUGAGGUCGGUCAUUGGAAUGGGUACAAUUUAGACAUUUUAACGAGUACCAACAGGAGGGCAAGUCUGGUGCCAGCAGCCGCGGUAAUUCCAGCUCCUGUAGUACAUAGAAUUAUUGUUGCGGUUAAAAAGUUCGUAGUUGGAUUGUUAUAUUAUCUCGGGUGCAUCCGAGAGGAUUGCUACUCGUGGAUAAUAUUUUACACGGUUCAAAGUAUGUACAUUAUUAAUGCCAAAUUUUUGGAAAUUUGUGUAUUAGUAUGUGCGUGCUCCGUGUAGGAUUACUUUGAACGGCUUAAGUGCUCAAGGCGAGUCUUAUGACUGAAUACCGGUGCAUGGAAUAAUGGAACAAGGUUGCGGCCGAGUUUUAUUGGUUUUGUCGGCUGAAACAAUGGUUAACAGGAACAGCCGGGGGCAUUCGUAUCGUUGUGCGAGAGGUGAAAUUCGUGGACCAUAGCGAGACGCACUAAAGCGAAGGCAUUUGCCAAGAGUGUUUCAUUAAUCAAGAACGAAAGUCAGAGGUUCGAAGGCGAUUAGAUACCGCCCUAGUUCUGACCGUAAAUGAUGCCAACUGACAAUUCGCUUGUGGAUUUAAUUCAUAAGCGAGCGGUCUACCGGAAACGAAAGUUUUUCGGUUCCGGGGGAAGUAUGGUUGCAAAGCUGAAACUUAAAGGAAUUGACGGAAGGGCACCACCAGGAGUGGAGCUUGCGGCUUAAUUUGACUCAACACGGGAAACCUCACCCGGCCAGUACAUCGUAAGGAUUGACAGAUCGAUAGCUCUUUCAUGAUUCGGUGAAUGGUGGUGCAUGGCCGUUCUUAGUUCGUGGAUCAUUUUGUCUGGUUUAUUCCGAUAACGAGCGAGACGCCAACUGUUAACUAGUGCAUUUAUUACUUUUAUGUUGUAAAUGAUCACUUCUUAAAGGGAUUCGUGGUUUGAAACCGCAAGAAAUGGCGCAAUAACAGGUCUGUGAUGCCCUUAGAUGUUCGGGGCCGCACGCGUGCUACAAUGAUGGUAUCAGCAUGCUUGUCCUACCUCGAUAGAGGAUGGAAAACAUUUGAGAUAUAAUUAUGGCUGGAAUUGAGUGUUGAAAUUUUCACUCAUAAACAUGGAAUUCCAAGUAAAUGCAAGUCAUCAACUUGCAUUGAUUACGUCCCUGCCCUUUGUACACACCGCCCGUCGCUCCCCGGGACUGAGUUGUUUCGAGAAAACCCCAGACUGGUGAUGUUUCAUGUCUUUGACAUGUGC